GACUUUCAAGAAUUUUUUAUUCGUUUUGCCUUGAAAGCUUAAAGAGGGAGUUAGUAUUCCCGGAGGUCU
rnacentral:tRNA from 1 species